GUGAGGAAUAUUGGUCAAUGGGCGAGAGCCUGAACCAGCCAAGUCGCGUGAAGGAUGAAGGUUUUAUGAAUUGUAAACUUCUUUUGCAGGGGAAUAAAGUACGGUACGUGUACCGUUUUGUAUGUACUCUGCGAAUAAGGAUCGGCUAACUCCGUGCCAGCAGCCGCGGUAAUACGGAGGAUCCAAGCGUUAUCCGGAUUUAUUGGGUUUAAAGGGUGCGCAGGCGGGUUGAUAAGUCAGCGGUGAAAGUUUGCAGCUUAACUGUAAAAUUGCCGUUGAAACUGUCGAUCUUGAGUGCAAAUGAGGUAAGCGGAAUGUGUUGUGUAGCGGUGAAAUGCUUAGAUAUAACACAGAACACCGAUUGCGAAGGCAGCUUACUGGGAUGCAACUGACGCUCAUGCACGAAAGCGUGGGGAUCAAACAGGAUUAGAUACCCCUGUAGUCC
rnacentral:rRNA from 1 species